UACAGAGGGUGCGAGCGUUAAUCGGAAUUACUGGGCGUAAAGCGUGCGUAGACGGUUAUUUAAGUCGGGUGUGAAAGCCCCGGGCUCAACCUGGGAAUUGCAUUCGAGACUGAAUAGCUAGGGUACGGUAGAGGGAAGCGGAAUUUCCGGUGUAGCGGUGAAAUGCGUAGAUAUCAUGAGGAAUACCAGAGGCGAAGGCGGCUACCUGGACAAUUGCUGACGCUCAGGCACGAAAGCGUGGGGAGCAAAAGGG
rnacentral:rRNA from 1 species